rnacentral:rRNA from 1 species
AGUGAACGUUGGCGGCGUGGAUUAGGCAUGCAAGUCGAGCGGGAACCGUAGCAAUACGGGGACAGCGGCGAAAGGGACAGUAAUGUGUAGGUACCUACCUCCGGGUUCGGGAUAGCUGCGGGAAACUGCAGGUAAUACCGAAUGACGUCUCCGGACCAAAGGCGUGCUUCCACCUGGAGAGGGGCCUGCAUCCUAUUAGCCUGUUGGCGGGGUAACGGCCCACCAAGGCGACGAUGGGGAGCGGGUGUGAGAGCACGACCCGCGUCAUUGGGACUGAGACACUGCCCAGACACCUACGGGUGGCUGCAGUCGAGGAUCUUCGGCAAUGGGCGCAAGCCUGACCGUGCGACGCCGCGUGCGGGAUGAAGGCCUUCGGGUUGUAAACCGCUGUCGUAGAGGAGGAAAUGCAGGGGGGUUCUCCCCCCUGUUUGACCUAUUCUAGGAGGAAGGACGGGCUAAGUUCGUGCCAGCCGCCGCGGUAA